rnacentral:rRNA from 1 species
GGACUACCGGGGUUUCUAAUCCUGUUUGAUCCCCACGCUUUCGUGCCUCAGCGUCAAUAAAACCAUAGUAAGCUGCCUUCGCAAUCGGUGUUCUGAGACAUAUCUAUGCAUUUCACCGCUACUUGUCUCAUUCCGCCUACCUCUAGUUCAUUCAAGCCCGUCAGUAUCAAAGGCACUGCGAUAGUUGAGCUACCGUCUUUCACCUCUGACUUAACAGGCCGCCUACGCACCCUUUAAACCCAAUAAAUCCGGAUAACGCUUGGAUCCUCCGUAUUACCGCGGCUGCUGGCAC